rnacentral:lncRNA from 13 species
GAAAGAAACUGUGGGGAAAGAGCAUAUAGGAGCAUAUAAAGACUUCUGAGGUGUUGGAAAUUUUUAUUACUUAAUCUCAGUAUUAUAUACACAAUUAUUUAUCUUAUUACUGACACAAUCAAUUUAUACAUAUUUCCAUAUACAUAAUUACCUUUAUAAAAUAAAAAGAGACACCAAUAGGACAACAAGAUAGCAUCCAACAUGACAUUAUUUACUUGUGAUGAAGUCAGAGCUAAAGCCCAAAUCCAUCAAGUCUGUUUCUCUGCCAGGUGAUAAUAUGGGUGGUGAUAACAAAGUUAAUAUGUGGUUAGCUGGAGACCUCCAAACCCUGAACCAUCCAUCUUUCUCUACAUGGUCCUAAAGGGAAACACAUGCACAGAAAAAUGCCCUGUUGACUGAGAAGGCAAAACUUUAAUGCUUACCAGGUUCUUGAUCUCUAAACAAGUAAGCUAGGCUAGGUGGAGACCUUUCCUAGACUAGAGACAGCCAGGUCUGACAAUCACAGCAAGCGAAAUGGUCUUCUCCAGCCCAGUCUCCCUAACUCUAUCAAAGUUUUGAAUUGUGUGUGAUUCUAAUGAUGACAACAGGUUUUCACCAGAGUUCCCCAGCUAGCAAGAGGAACAAAAAGUCUCUGUCUGUCUAGGCUUAUUUAUAUUCUGCUAAAGUUUUUUUCAUUUCUUAGUACAGGCUGUCCAAUUAGGGUUCUGGCCUUCAACCAAGUAAAAAUGAUACUUAAAACCUUGAGAAUGGAGUAGAAAGUGAGUUGUGAGCCUGUUCUGGCCAAUAGACAGUAUUGUCUGUUUUUAUUUGUAAGCUAUCCUAAGCAGCCAACAAUGAGACCACAGAGGUGGGUGUGCAACUAGCGAUUCACCAGUAGUGUGAAUAUGAGAAGUUUGAUCAAUUAGAGUCUGUGCUAUCUCGUGAAUAAGUCCAAUCAUAACAUUUCUUUGUCUGCUUUCUUUUUAUGUGACUAUAAAAAGAUGUCAACAGUGCAUUUAAAGUUUCCUGCAGAGAGGAAAUAUGCAGAUCACAAUGAAGGGCAAUGCUCAGGAAGCUGUUUUCAAGGAGAUCCAGGGCUAGGAGAAAAAGUCUUCAAAAAAUGUCUACCUAAAACAAAGAGAGACGUGCCUUCCCUCUUUCCAGCAGCCAGCUCGGCCUGUGUUCCUCUGCUGCUUAAGUAUCCCAUGACUCAUACCAAGCCCUUGGUUCAUCCCUCACCUUUCAGAGUGACUGUCUAAAGUUCAUAUCCAGUCCUUGUUACUUUCAUGUUUAAUGGACUUCUGUGGAUUCCUUUAGGCCGUAGAAUAAAGUCUAAGCUGUUUAGAAUGGCA